GAGUUUGAUCGUGGCUCAGGAUGAACGCUGGCGGCGUGCCUAAUACAUGCAAGUCGAGCGAACGGACGAGAAGCUUGCUUCUCUGAUGUUAGCGGCGGACGGGUGAGUAACACGUGGAUAACCUACCUAUAAGACUGGGAUAACUUCGGGAAACCGGAGCUAAUACCGGAUAAUAUUUUGAACCGCAUGGUUCAAAAGUAAAGACGGUCUUGCUGUCACUUAUAGAUGGAUCCGCGCUGCAUUAGCUAGUUGGUAAGGUAACGGCUUACCAAGGCAACGAUGCAUAGCCGACCUGAGAGGGUGAUCGGCCACACUGGAACUGAGACACGGUCCAGACUCCUACGGGAGGCAGCAGUAGGGAAUCUUCCGCAAUGGGCGAAAGCCUGACGGAGCAACGCCGCGUGAGUGAUGAAGGUCUUCGGAUCGUAAAACUCUGUUAUUAGGGAAGAACAUAUGUGUAAGUAACUGUGCACAUCUUGACGGUACCUAAUCAGAAAGCCACGGCUAACUACGUG
rnacentral:rRNA from 1 species